CCCCAGUUCUCCUCAUAGUUUUCUCCAAGCUAAUUACACUUUACAACCUUCAAAGGACGAUUUGGGUUUCUUGGUACCUCUAUUAGCCAUAAAUUCUCGUGUAGGAAGCUCCGGGUCUAGAGUUAGAAAUAUCGAUUGAUGUGGAAAAGCGAUUCAGCGGCAAUUCGAUGAGAGAAAGCGGAGCCGGGGUCCAGAGAGUGGCGUCCUGGCAAACGGCGGUGGCGAAUAUGACGGAUGCGACGCGAUUGUUACGGGAUAAGCGGAGACGACAGAGCCGGGGUCCAGAGAGUGGCGUCCUUUCGUUAGGGUUUCCCAUUGAGUUUCUUCGCUAGUGUCUGCCGGAGUUUGUCUGGUCCUUCUUCCUAGUCGAUUCUGUUGCUCAAGGUGGUUUUCUACAAUGGGGAGGUCUUCUUCUCCGGCGAGCUUGCAACCACGAGAGCUACUUCUGCUGCUGGAACAAUUAUGACUUUAUCUUCAUGGGCUACUUGUAGUGUUGAGGAAGUUGCUUCCACAGGACCAGGGAUUCGUUUUUUCCAACUUUAUGUCAGUUUCAUAUAGUUCUACUUGGUCUUUUGAAAAUCUGGCUUUGAAUCGUCUGUUUGUUCUCUUGAUGCAGGUAUAUAAGGAUAGAAAUGUGGUAAGACAGCUUGUAAAAAGAGCUGAAGAAGCUGGAUUUAAAGCGAUCGCUCUUACCGUUGAUACUCCAAGGCUUGGAAGAAGAGAAUCUGACAUAAAAAACAGCUGAAGGAUCCCCUGCUAGAUUUUUUUUUGUUCAUUCGAUAUACAUAGGAAAGCUGCGUUAAUAGUAGAUCCAAGAGCACCAGAGUUUGUGGCUUUAGACGUAAGUCUCUCUCCCAAAGAUCAAAGAGCCUCUAAUUGUACAACUGCUCCAGUUUGCUCCUUCAGCUGGUGUAUGACAAUACGAUUGGACUAAG